UACGUAGGGCGCAAGCGUUAUCCGGAAUUAUUGGGCGUAAAGAGCUCGUAGGCGGUUUGUCGCGUCUGCCGUGAAAGUCCGGGGCUCAACUCCGGAUCUGCGGUGGGUACGGGCAGACUAGAGUGAUGUAGGGGAGACUGGAAUUCCUGGUGUAGCGGUGAAAUGUGCAGAUAUCAGGAGGAACACCGAUGGCGAAGGCGGCUCUGGUGACUGAUCUGACGCUAGACGGAAGCGAAG
rnacentral:rRNA from 1 species